UACAGAGGGUGCGGGCGUUAAUCGGAAUUACUGGGCGUAAAGCGCUCGUAGUCGGCUUUGCAAGUCGGUUGUGAAAUCCCCGGGCUCAACCUGGGAACUGCAUCCGAGACCGCAUUGCUAGAGUAUGGGAGAGGGAAGCGGAAUUUCUGGUGUAGCAGUGAAAUGCGUAGAUAUCGGAAGGAACAUCAGUGGCGAAAGCGACUGCCUGGCCCAAUACUGACACUCAAGUGCGAAAGCGUGGGGAGCAAACAGG
rnacentral:rRNA from 1 species